UACAGAGGGUGCGAGCGUUGUCCGGAAUUACUGGGCGUAAAGGGCGCGUAGGCGGCUUGGUAAGUCGGGGGUGAAAGUCAGCGGCUCAACCGCUGGACUGCCUUCGAGACUGCCUGGCUUGAGCAUGGUAGAGGCUGGCGGAAUUCCCGGUGUAGCGGUGGAAUGCGUAGAGAUCGGGAAGAACAUCGGUGGCGAAGGCGGCUUUCUGGCCUGCUCUUGACGCUGAGGCGCGAAAGCCAGGGGAGCAAACGGG
rnacentral:rRNA from 1 species